rnacentral:rRNA from 1 species
AACGAACGCUGGCGGCGUGCCUAACACAUGCAAGUCGAACGGGAUUGAGGGGCUUGCUCCUCAAUUUAGUGGCGCACGGGUGAGUAACGCGUAGAUAAUCUGCCUGACGAUCUGGGAUAACACUUCGAAAGGGGUGCUAAUACCGGAUAAGCCCACGGGGACUUUGGUCUUUGCGGGAAAAGGGGGGGACUUUUUGGCCUUCUGUCGUCAGAUGAGUCUGCGUACCAUUAGCUAGUUGGUAGGGUAAAGGCCUACCAAGGCUACGAUGGUUAGCUGGUCUGGGAGGAUGAUCAGCCACACUGGAACUGAGACACGGUCCAGACUCCUACGGGAGGCAGCAGUGGGGAAUUUUGCGCAAUGGGCGAAAGCCUGACGCAGCAACGCCGCGUGAGUGAUGAAGGCUUUCGGGUCGUAAAGCUCUGUCGAGGGGAAAGAAGUGUAUUAUGGUUAAUACCCAUGAUACUUGACGGUACCCCUAAAGGAAGCACCGGCUAACUCCGUGCCAGCCGCCGCCGUAAUAC